rnacentral:rRNA from 1 species
GAUGAACGCUGGCGGCGUGCCUAAUACAUGCAAGUCGAGCGAACAGACGAGGAGCUUGCUCCUCUGACGUUAGCGGCGGACGGGUGAGUAACACGUGGAUAACCUACCUAUAAGACUGGGAUAACUUCGGAAAACCGGAGCUAAUACCGGAUAACAUGUUGAACCGCAUGGUUCAACAGUGAAAGACGGUCUUGCUGUCACUUAUAGAUGGAUCCGCGCCGCAUUAGCUAGUUGGUAAGGUAACGGCUUACCAAGGCAACGAUGCGUAGCCGACCUGAGGGGGUGAUCGGCCACACUGGAACUGAGGCACGGUCCAGACUCCUACGGGAGGCCACAGUAGGGAAUCUUACGCAAUGGGCGAGAGCCUGACGGAGCAACGCCGCGUGAGUGAAGAAGGUCUUCGGAUCGUAAAACUCUGUUAUUAGGGAAAAACAAAUGUGUAAGUAACUGUGCACGUCUUGACGGUACCUAAUCAGAAAGCCACGGCUAACUACGUG